rnacentral:rRNA from 1 species
GAUGAACGCUGGCGGCGCGCCUAACACAUGCAAGUCGAACGGUUGAAGCACCUUUUAGGUGUGUAUAAAGUGGCGAACGGCUGAGUAACACGUGGGCAACCUGCCCUCCUCUUGGGGAUAGCCUCGGGAAACCGAGGAUAAUACCCGAUACUUCAAUGUGGCCGCAUGACGACAUUGAGAAAGCUUUUGCGGAGAAGGAUGGGCCCGCGGCCUGUUAGCUUGUUGGUGGGGUAGAGGCCUACCAAGGCAAUGAUGGGUAGCUGGGUUGAGAGACCGACCAGCCAGAUUGGGACUGAGACACGGCCCAGACUCCUACGGGAGGCAGCAGUGGGGAAUCUUGCACAAUGGGCGAAAGCCUGAUGCAGCGACGCCGCGUGCGGGACGAAGGCCUUCGGGUUGGAAACCGCUUUCAGCAGGGACGAGGCGAUAAGUGACGGUACCUGCAGAAGAAGCCCCGGCUAACUACGUG